AUGCUAUCUGGGGGAUGGCUUGGCUUGAGUUGCCUAUGAAGGUCGUGGUAAGCUGCGAUAAGCUUGGGCGAGGAGCAUACAUCUUUGGAACCCAAGAUUGCCUAAUGGGACUUCCUAGCACAUUUUUUUUGUGUUGAUCCGUGUAGGAUUGGGAACCCGCCGAAUUGAAACAUCUUAGUAGGCGGAGGAAAAGAAAGCAAUAUGCGAUGUCGUUAGUAACGGCGAGCGAAAUCGACUUAGAACAAACUGAAUCCCUUUUAGUAAUAUUAGGGAGAUGUGGUGUAUAGACAUACUUUUAGGCCUCGGGGGAUAAAUUGAAUUUUUAUUUGGAAUUUUAGAACCGUAGAGGGUGAUAGUCCCGUAGAUAUAUUCUCUUUUUGAGGUUUUGUGUAUGAUUUUUUCUUGAGUAGGAUCCGUUGGAUAUCGGGUUUGAAUGUGGGAGGCAUCAACUUCCAAUUCUAAAUACGUCUCAAGACCGAUAGAGUAUUAGUACCGUGAGGGAAUGCUGAAAAGUACCCCUAUAGGGGGGUGAAAAGUACCUGAAACCAGAUAGUGACAGCCAGAUGUGGCGCGUAAGGAAUGAAUUCUUCCGAAAGAAUCAGUGGUAACAUUGUAGUAUGAGGAGGUUGGACUAGUGUUGCAUCGUCCGUCUUGAAACACGGGCCAGGGAGUUCUUUGUUGUGGUGAGGCUAAAAGGUUUUUAUCCUUGUAGUCGUAGGGAAACCGAUAUGCCCGCAGCUUUGUUGAGGGGCAAGGUCUUAAUAGGGCCUGGAAUCACAGCAUUGAAACCCGAAGCCGGUCGAUCUAUUCCUGAGCAGGAUGAAGUCGCUCUUACGAGCGAUGGAGGUUCGCAGGGUUGUUGUUCUGCAAAACACUCUUUUGACUUGGGAAUAGUGGUGAAAGGCCAAUCAAGGCCGGCGACAGCUGGUUCCACUCGAAAUGACUCUAAGGUCAGCCUGACUGGAGGUUGGUGGCGGGGUAGAGCACUAAUUGGACGUUUAGGGAGGGAAACUUCUCGGCGUACUGUAAAACUCCGAACUCGUCACCGUCGUAGAAGGUUGGAGUGAGGGGCGCGGGGUAAGCUUGUGUCCCGAAAGAGAAACAACUCAGACUAUGGUUAAGGCCCCUAAAUACUGGAUAAGUGUAAGGGAGUCUUUGGCCCAAGACAAUGGGAAGGUGGGCUUAGAAGCAGCCACCCUUUAACGAGUUCGUAACAGAUCACCCAUCGAGGUCAGAGGCACCUAAAAUGGACGGGAAUUAAUCCAGUUGCCGAUACCAUGGAACACCUUUUUUUUGGUGAUUGUGUAGAGUGGCGACCUGUGUGGGUUGAAGAGGGGGCGUGAGUUCCUUUGGACCUUGCAGGUAUGUGGAUCCUGGUAGUAGUAGCAGCAAAGUGAGGUGAGAAUCCUUACCGCCGGAGGGGCUAGGGUUCCUUGGCAAUGUUCGUCAGCCAAGGGUUAGUCGAUCCUAAGGUCAGUCAUAAGUUGAGCUGGUCGAAAGGGAAGCAGGUUAAUAUUCCUGUACAUAGUAAAUUUGCGGUGACGUUGAGGGCUAAUUUCUGACACUUCGAGAUAUGUUUUGUAGGAUUGUCGUCCUAUUUACGUGUUUAAGCCUGGGGAGAGGUGUAAUAGCGAGAACCAGGUGUAGGCAUUAUGAGCUGGUCGUUUUUGUACUGGUUUAACUGAUUCAUGGAGUCCUUGAAAAGGGAGUUAGUUUUGUAUUUUACUAUUUCGUACCGAGAUCCGUCACAGGUGCCCCUAGCUGAGUAGGCUAAGGCGUUUUAAGGUAAACUAGCUAAGGGAAAUCGGCAAAAUGGCCCCGUAACUUUGGAAGAAGGGGUGCCAGCUAUGUGAAUAGCUGGUCUCAGUGACUAGGGGGGCCCGACUGUUUAAUAAAAACAUAGCUCUCUGCUAGCCCGUAAGGGUGUGUACAGAGGGCGACACCUGCCCAGUGCUGGCACGUGAAGCUGGAGUUCAGUUCAGUGAAGCGCCAGUAAACGGCGGGGGUAACUAUAACCCUCUUAAGGUAGCGAAAUGCCUUGUCGGACAAGUACCGACCUGCAUGAAUGGUAGAACGAGGUCCCCACUGUCCCUAGCUAGAACUUAGUGAACCUGCUAUUCUGGUGCACAAGCCAGAGUCUUCCAUUGGGAAGCGAAGACCCCGUAGAGUUUUACUGCAGUCUGUCGUUGAAGCUUGGUUAUAGGUAUGCAGUGUAAGUGGGAGAAUUCGAUUAUAAGUCGCCAGGUUUAUAUGAUUCGUUCUUGAGACACCACUUUCUUAUGACUGUGUUUCUAACUUACUUUUUUGUGUGAGGACAUCGGUAGAUGGGCAGUUCGGCUGGGGCGGCACGGGCUUGAAAUGGUAUCAAGCCCGCCCAAAGGUCAACUCA
rnacentral:rRNA from 1 species